rnacentral:rRNA from 1 species
GAUGAACGCUGGCGGCGUGCCUAAUACAUGCAAGUCGAGCGAACAGAUGAGGAGCUUGCUCCUCUGACGUUAGCGGCGGACGGGUGAGUAACACGUGGAUAACCUACCUAUAAGACUGGGAUAACUUCGGGAAACCGGAGCUAAUACCGGAUAAUAUAUUGAACCGCAUGGUUCAAUAGUGAAAGACGGUUUUGCUGUCACUUAUAGAUGGAUCCGCGCCGCAUUAGCUAGUUGGUAAGGUAACGGCUUACCAAGGCAACGAUGCGUAGCCGACCUGAGAGGGUGAUCGGCCACACUGGAACUGAGACACGGUCCAGACUCCUACGGGAGGCAGCAGUAGGGAAUCUUCCGCAAUGGGCGAAAGCCUGACGGAGCAACGCCGCGUGAGUGAUGAAGGUCUUCGGAUCGUAAAACUCUGUUAUUAGGGAAGAACAAAUGUGUAAGUAACUAUGCACGUCUUGACGGUACCGAAUCAGAAAGCCACGGCGAACUACGU